rnacentral:tRNA from 1 species
UAAAGGAGCCGCCAUAAAAUCCGAGAGAAGGUCUUGGCUGUUGUUUUUUAAUGCGGUAGAAGCUAACUUGGUA